rnacentral:lncRNA from 1 species
ACGUACAUACCAAAGCUGUGAGCAAAGAAAACGACUGAAGGAGCUGAGUCCAUCAGCAACAACCCAGCAUGUGAUGAGCGGCCGUUGCGUUGAGCGGCAGCUGCUGUGACGAGCAUCACCACAACAAGACCUUGCCUUAACUAGCCGCUGUACGACAUGCACGCUAGAAACGCACCAAGACACAACCAUUCCCACUUACCGGCACGACCUGACUUGGCGGUAGCGUGUUGACGGUGAAGCAGUACUCAGUGACGUUGCGGCCCCAGUGGGCAUUGGCCGGCUGUGCAUACCAGGUGGGGGAGACUACGAACGGCAUGACUCCCUGAGUUGUGUUGCACCUGCGCGUCAGAAGGCGCGCGGAGGCGGCAGCAGGGUCGGUAACUAGUACUUUCACACAUUCACCCAACGUUCCUGAUUUUUGCACAUAGCCAUGUGAGCAAGGUAUCCAUACAAGCACGGUGUCUUUGCCUUCAGCCAUUCAUCCAAAGCUCUGCAUACACGACAAAGACGCUAGCCAGAUCCCAAACAUGGGUUCAUCCAUUGCGGGAGGAAGCUUUGGUUAUUAGGCCCUACAUCCUCGCCCCCAAAUCUUUACGGAUGGCGGCCGCACCGCAAAAGAGACGACGCCAUGAAGUAGGGUGACUUACGUGCAGUUGGGGAAUGGAACGCCAGGCAGGAAGCAACUAGUCGACUGCGAGAGGGAAAGGCACUGAUCUGCCACAUUGUUGAUGGUGGAGACCGUCACCGUGUAUUUCUCCAACUUUGGAUUGCAGACGUUGCCGCCAGACGCAAUUUCGAUGAAGUUGGAAAGCUGCUGCUGCACCGCUUCCGUCAGAAGGGCCAACGCAUCACUGUCCGAACCGUUGAACCUGCCACAUGUAAUGAUUUGUGUGUCAAAGCACUGGCUUGCAUUUGGCGCGAAAGGUGAGAAGGCGCCGACGUUGGCGGCUCCCAGGAGAGAGUUCAUGAUGUUGGCGAUGUUCUGCUGAAUGGCGGCGCAGGUGGCGCUGUCGUAGCGGUAUGGUCGCACAUCAAUGGCCGGGGGCACAAUGGUCGCGGCGAUGCAGACGUCACAAGGCCGGAAGACCGGCGGAAUAACUGGUGGCGGCGGCGGGAGGGCCUGACCAGCUUGAGAAACCGGGCAGCAAUCACACGCGACAUCGAACAUAGCUGCUGUGCAUGUCCCUGCGGGGAAGCCUGGCGACGAGCACAGUUGCUCCAGGGUGGUGCAGCCCUGGCCUCCGCGGUUGGUCUUGAGGGUGAGGCACACCUCCGCAUCCUGGGCGGUCGUGGUGUCCAGCCCCAGCUGGGUGAGCCGCAGAACGGCGGAGCCAACAGGCCCAGCCGGGGCCUUGUCCAGGGCCGCACCAACCCGGGUCCGCACUCCAUUCACGGUGGCGACAACUGAAGCCCCGGCCACCAGGCAGCUGCUGGACACGUUAAACUGCGGACGUUGCGGGAUUGCAUGUGGUGGGAGGAUGGAGUGAUGGCAAGGUGAGGCAGGAGGGAACAUCACAAUUUGAUGUUCCCUCUACUUUUGAGGGUGCGAAGUUCCCAUUCUGUCCAACACACGUAAAUGAGCUAUAUAAAUCUUGCGAGGCGCGUUCCAAAGCCUGAUUAGACAUCCACUCCCCUGAGCAGCUAGGAUGGUAACGGAGCCCCCAACACCGAUAUCUUGAGCGCCUUCCCGUGCUUUCCGAGGCCCUAGGACCUGUAGCAAUGUGUUAUCAUGUCGCAUCCCCCACACCAUCAGCCGGCCGUGCGCGCACCUCAAUUUUGUGCAAGUCGGCGCUGCAGCAGGCGCCAGUGCAGGACAGGGCAUCCUGGCUGACCUGGAUCUUAAAGCAGUACGUGUUGCUGCCCGAAGGCCGCCACACCGGUGCCAGCCGGUACGCGCCGUUGGUGGUGUUGCAGUUGCGGAACGGGAAGUUGGGGAUGCUGCCAGGCGUGACAGCUGAGGGAUCGUACUCGUUGUAUUCCUGCGCUUUGACGACCCUGAAGGCGAUUCGGGAUUUAACCACCACGCUCAACCGCUUGACGUGUAUCGUAACUAGCGUUUACAUGGUACAUGCUUGCAUUUUCUGGCAACCGUAUAUGCUUGCCGAAACUUAGGAGUUCGGAUGCCUUAUAUCGCUUAUAAAGGCACCGGCAAACUAUGUUAACCCAGUUGUAGACCCAUCACGUUCCAUAUCGUUAUUCAUAUAGGUACUAUUCGGGCAAGAUGCUAUCAAGCUUACCAGCCAACCGCCAGCACUACUGUCGCGAGAAAUAAUAAAGUUUUUGCCAUAUCGGUGUCGAAGACUCCCAAUAUUAGUGUAAUGAAAAGAAGACCAAAACUCUGCUGGAAUUUUCGAAUCGUAAAUGAGAAGGAAAUCGCAACAACGAGACAAUGAUGAAUUGCGCCCACAUGGUUACCUUUAUGUACCCAUCGUAUGCGUGGCUGGGCCCUACGGCUUACCUCAUUAGGCGGGCGCUGAGAAGCGGCGGUACGUUACAGGUUCUCUUCUGUUUCCGAACGCGAGUUCACGCAACGGCUCGAUUCUCUCCGAAAGUCUUCGAGAAUGCCCUUAAUUUUCUUCAGUAUAGUCGGCAUAAGCAAGACUUGAUUCAUACAUUCUGAAAUUGUUAUUGUCAUGAUAAUUGCCCGGCGCCCGAUCCAACAUCUGACGGCUGGCACGCAUGAGACCGCAUCAUAUCCCACUUGGCAUUACAAAUAAUAACUAAUUUAAGAUGUACUUAAGAAUAGCAAUAUAAAUGCACUUUUGUCCCAUGGAAUCCUUCCAUAUUCGCGUGGAUGAGCGGCUCGCGCUUUGCUGCACCUAGGGAAGCGACAGUGGGGCGACAACGGUGUUGGCAAAGCAACACGUCGAGGCUAAUGGUAAACGGCGAUUCCUACAGCAGAACGGCAACAGGAGUUGUCCAUGUUGGCGAAUCAAGCUAACUAUUGGUCUUGGGGGCAGUGCGCGGACAUCGAGCACAAGACCGAUUUAUUACUAAUACGAGACUUACGAACUAUGUGAACGGAAAGAAUGCACUUUAAAGGCAUCAUAAUGCACAAAUCGUUUGUGUUGGGGCAGGUAUCCGAAUGCGCUUCACAUUCGUCCUUUCGAACCCGCCUUACGGGCUGCGGCACAAAGGCCGCCAAAGUUAGACUAGCCAAACGGCUCUAACAACGCAAACGAAAAGUAGUGGCAGAAUAUCAAAGGAAUACCAUCUCAAAGAGAUAUGUUGUGAGAUAUGUUGUGAUUCAGAUACGCAUGCUCUGGGACCGAACAUGUUCUAUAGCUUCCUUUCCAUGCAUGCAGCCAGGGAAGAGGUCUCGGCCAGCUGACCCGGCAUGCCGCCAUCCACAAUCAACUUGCUGCACUGCUAGCAGGUCGAAAACUGAUAUUCCUCCUUCCAACAACCGCACAAUGACGGCCCCUGGAACAGCAUACAUGUGUGCCCGCCCCCAGGUCCCUCUGAACGUCAGAGUGCCGUCCGGGCAUAUGCCGAUCUACUGUUAUUGCCCCUUUUCGCAGCCAUCGCCUCGCAACUGGGCUGACUGCCGCAACGAACUUCCCUGCCGUGCGUAACCACUUGCCGUACUUAUAUUCUAGCCCAGAGUACAAGGCAGGGUUGCAAGAGACGUGGCAUUCCUAGGACACGUGUGCCCGGCCCCUGCCUAGCAGAUGGUUGUAGCAUAUGUGUGUGUGUGUGUUACAUGGUUGGGCAUGGUUGUAGCAUAUAUAUGCCACCCUUGAGUGCGAUGUAGGUUGUAGGUCUCUUUGGAAAGUCUUCAUAACCAGAGCCUAAUGAGGGACCAUGGACACUCUUCACAGCAACCACAGCGGAACACCCUACCUUCGAUAGCUAGGUUUUGUCCACUAACCGAACAUUCGAACAUCCGUCAAUGUUCGUCCUAAGGGCUGAAUCUUCCGACGGCAUAUCCGAAUGAGCAGCAGAUAAUUCGGCAACCAAGAGAAAAAUGUCCGAUCGGCCAACUAGGCCCGCAACUCGAAGUGGCAACUAGAUAGUUGUCCUAAGCAUUGCUAAUACGGAAUACAAUACGGACAAUCAAUGCGUUCAAGCCGAGUCGGCAAUUGAAGACUGUGGCGAGGUUUACGUCGGCAUCGGUUGAAAGCGGUAUUGUAUUUGCUAGAACGCCAUGUAUGGGAAGGAUGGCGCGCAGAAUUUGGAAUGAUGCAGUGCAGAAGAAUUAGCGUUUCGACUUUUGGCGGGCGUGUGGCACCUCCCGACGGUUCGUUCGUGCGACUCGACCAAACCCACAUGAACCAAAAUCGCAUCCUACAUAACAACUCAUGCAUAUAGUUGUCAUUGCUACUCCUAUUUUUUCCUAUUACGAUAUUGGUUUCGGGUUUUCCGCAGGGCUUUGGCAGUUGGCACGCCCCGAGUCGUACCAUUGGCCAGACGCUGCAGCUGAUGCCAAAUCAGGGCCCCAGAAGAACCUACUACUCAGUUGGCCAGCCGGCAAAGAGCACAUUAGCAAAUAGAUUUAAGCUGGAGUUUAGACUUAGAGCUUGCCGCCUCUACAGCCGUGCAAAUGAGUACGCGGCGUACGGUGUUCGGUCGGUGCGCGGACAAACUACUCGGGGCCCCAAUCGCAAAUCAAUCAGCCUUUUAGCGCAUCUAUGUACGACCUGUAAAUGUUUUACUGUUGAAUGGCGAUUGAAGGCAUGGAAUAGUAAGUCCAAUACGCAUUUAAAAUUUAUCGACAUUUCUGGUAAUCUCAAUAAAUCUUUCAUUUUCUGCUUGUAAAAUAUUGGAAAUAAUUAGGUAUACAGAUUAUCCGAAAUUGGCGCUCGAGGAGUAUGCCACUAAUAGGUACCGCCGGCGGUUGGCCUAGUGUGGACUUGCUCCGCGGACAUGAAUUCGAUCGAGACUGCCAGUAGGUAAUGAAGUUACGGCAGAGCUAUUGUUGCCUGGCAUGCUCCACGCGUUGUAGGUACCAUCGUCCGAUGUCAGACUACCUGAUCCCUGUAUUGCUAGCUGGCCGUCUGCAAAACAUUCAAGGCUCUGUGGGGUCCGCCAUGCCCCGGGUCAGUUACAUCACCAUGAUUGAGGGUGUCCUUUGUGUUUGGGUCUAAUGCACAACCGAUUUGCAUUGGUGGGUUUUUGCGUGAGGCAUAUGUACCGUACGGCCGUUAAAAAUCGUCAUACCGGGUUCUUGUCCGAUAACUACUAUACUAGAAGGUACCGUCUUUAGACAUGAUAAUAUUUGGCUGUCCCGGCGGAUCUAUGCAUUGCGCAUAGGAAGGCAACCCUGCUGAUUGAAGCGAAUAUGAGAAACGGCAUUAUGGGUGGAAGGCGCUGCAGAAAUGUGGCAUUUUAUUGUAUAACGCUGCCAUUUCGUGUUAGCUGCCCUGCUGAGCAAAUCCGGUAAGGCUACCAAUCAUUCAUGUUUACGAAAUAGGCCGAUUUCUACCGCUGCAAGUUUCUUACGGCGGCCGAACUAUGCGAUGUUAUGCCGCAAUAAUGCGGCCGAUCCGUCGAAGUUUGCGAGUGCGUGGAGCGUUUUCACGGUUGCAGGGUACGGUGCCACAAACAUAUAAAGUAUAUAACCAGAAGAAACUUUAACCACGGUUUUCCUUUCUGACAAGGAUGUAACGACAUUACUUAUGACAGUAACGACAUUACUUAUGACAGUAAGAGGGACCCAACAGCCACCAGAUCUGAACCAGUAUGGUGGAGACGACAUCGGGAAUGCUGUGACGAACAAAGCUAAGAAUGGUUUAUGUGACGAACGAACGGGGCUCCAUUUCUGAAUUGAAGACAUGCUUCCUUCAGUUUAGAAAAUACAGGCUCAUGUAUCUUGAUAGACAAUUCCGUGGCCCAAUUCAUGAGGGCGAGAGGCCCCUCUUACCUUGCAGCAGGUGAUGUGCCUCCACUGCCUCCAAUGUUUCCACCUACUUCUCUACGCAGCAAUUGUUUAGCUCAUGUGGACUUAGGUUGAGCUCAUUGGCUGCAUUGGCUCAACUUCACGGCAGAGUCACCCGCCUCGGUCCUUCGAUCCUCAAAUGUUGUGAUGGCGACAGGAAUCGUAGGUUAAAGCCCAGAACCACCUUCCCUUUCCCCUUAAAUCAUAUUGGUGAACUUUUAUGUCAAUGGCUCACCGCCAUCCCAAUUACAGGAUGAGCUCGCUACUUGCUCUUAUCGCGGUCCAGCUAUUUACUAAUUUGGAACGUACAUCUCUAACCUCUGUGGCAAUAAAUUAAGCCUGGCCAUGAAGAUAAACAGGUAUUGUGCUACUAGACCGAACUGUCGCCGCUGUCGCUUGAGCUUCCAAAGCCGACGGCCUAAUCCCUCGCGCGGCAUAACUCAGGUAAUGAAGGCUAACAUAGCGCGUGUUCCUGGCUAUGUACUCUGCCCUUCCAGCCACUUGCCAUGGUUUGUCGAACAUCGCAACCAGCCAUUUCCAUGUCCAGUGUCUGCCAGACAGGUGCUGUGUGUGGCACUGGACUAUAGCAUGCGCAGGGAGGUAUACAGUGGGGGCUGGUAAGGGCUCGGUAUGUAUGUAAGAGCAGUAGGACAGUAGGCCCGUAGAAACGGGUGCAGUAAGAACGACAGGAGGACUAGGUGGGGUCUUCUGGCACGGUAUUAGCCAUUUAGCUACCCCCCUGGAGCCCCCGCCUCCGUCCGCCCAGCUAGUUAGAUGACAGCUUGUUGUACAGCAGACGUGCCAAGGUACUGCAUCCGAAAUUCGUACGCGACCAACUACGUCUUGCUGCGAGUUGCCUAUUGCAGCCAAGCGUGGUGGCAGAAGCGAAAAUGUUCAACAGGAUCUCCCUCACACAAACAGAAAAUGCAGCUCGCAAGCUGACUCUGGCUUGGCCCACCUGACUAGGACUUCACAUGACACGCACGAGUUGCUUUGGUGGCGGGUGACUAUAAACCACGUACAUAUACGGCGGCAAGUAUGUAUGCAUGUAUUUACCUAUGUAUGAACGUAUGUACGUAUGCAUGUACGUACGUACGUAUGUAUAUAUGUACGUAUGUAUGUAUGCAUGUAUGCUGUACAUGUUGGGGCAGCAGCCCCGCGUGCAACGGAAAGGCUUCGUGUGCCCAUACAUGCACCACCAUAAAACCACACCUUAAUCAUGCUUCGGUAUGCGCCAUUUGGGGGUUAGGUCGACCGCCGCUUAUAUUGCAGAUAUGAUGUACGAGGUACACAACAGGCUUAUGUAUGCAAAAGUAUUUUCUACCUUUUCAGCGCUAGAGAUUAAGUUCUUACUUCCAGCGUCAACAGCACGUAUGGCAAGAAGAAUACCAUGAUUAGUUAUUCGACAAGCAAAUACAUGUAAUACAACACCCCACCCGCACCACAUAUGGCGCCCGCACGUCUCAGAAGCCUUCUUCCAAAUGGAGCAGCACGGUGAGGCAGGCCUGUGUGCGGCACGCUUCUAUUUAUCCCAAGAUACACCACACGCCCACUUCAAUAAACAUGCGAUUCACAUAUCCUGCAGCCACGCGUUCAUUCCAAAGGUUGCGCUACCUCCAUGAAUUCCUAUGAGGCAUACAUUUCAUUCGUAUUCAUAUUUGUUGUCCUGCUCCUGGCAAGAACACACCUACAGUAACAUGUAAAAAAAACACCGUGCAAAAGAAAGAAUGGAUCUGAAGCACUAAUACUAUUGAUCCAGCUUAUGUACACAGGUCGCCCUUGCGGUGAAACAGAUCAAUCGAUCGGGCAAUCGGAGCUGUGCCCUGUACCGUGUCAAGUGAUGGCGACUAGCGAAUGCCGUUCAUUGAUGGAGGGCAAGGGUGUCACUUUACCGCUGUCACUGCCACUGCACGUUUGCACAUGCCGGCGGGCGUGUAUGCAUGUUUACUAAAUCAAGCACUUCCGUAAGUAAUGCAUGCGUCGUCUAAAGCACGCUGCUUGUUUGCACGCCGCAUCCUUUCCACACGCGCACAGACGUCCUCACCAAGUCCUACCAAGUCCGUACGGCUCGUACCCUCCGCUGAACAUAAAUAGCCACAGAUGCUAGGAAUCAUACACAUAAUAAACUGGCAUCCACAGUUUCUCGUCACCAAUGUCAUUAAUGCUCCAAACACAAACAAAAAUCCCCUUUUACAGAACUAUGCAUGCACCGCAACGCUCUGCAGCCUGCUGCUGCUGGGAAGGGAUUACUGACGGACCCAUGGGUCGCCACAACAGGCCCCCAGGGGACCAAGCUACAUACUGCUGGACGUUCUAUCCAGCCUACACCUCCAUUCUUAACCCAUGCGAGCCCCACCAGCGGGAGGUGAAUGUCUGCAUGUGCAUCUUUUCGCAAUAGCACGGUCCACUAACUCAUUUGAUUGCUGCGAAUGCAGGAAGUGCUCAAGACGCGAGUCCCACCAAGUUCAAUCACUCCCCGUAAGCGCAUCAUCAGGGCCCCGUGCGGUAGGUCGGGCAGCAGUAGUCCGAGUUAUCGCGGUUGAAAAGGCUUGCGUAGCUGCAGAGGGGAUGCGGAGAGUGGAGAGGAGCAUGGAAGGGCGAUGAUACAAGAAGGGCAGUCUUGCCAGACAGGCAGACGGGCAGACAGGCAGACAGGCAGACAGGCAGACAGGCAGACAGGCAGACAGGCAGACAGGCAGACAGGCAGACAGGCAGACAGGCAGACAGGCAGACAGGCAGACAGGCAGACAGGCAGACAGGCAGACAGGCAGACAGGCAGACAGGCAGACAGGCAGACAGGCAGACAGGCAGACAGGCAGACAGGCAGACAGGCAGACAGGCAGACAGGCAGACAGGCAGACAGGCAGACAGGCAGACAGGCAGACAGGCAGACAGGCAGACAGGCAGACAGACGAACAUAAAGUGUGCGAGACGUACGGGCAUGGCGGGCUGCAGAUGCAUGCUUCGGGUCAUUAAGCAUAAGCAUUUGCUGAUACUACGUGGCAUUAUCCCGGUUAGCACCAGAAUGUUCUUCUUGGGGGUUAUCACAGCAAAACAAGCAAGGGCUUGUAAUGAGGGCUUGUAAUGAGGUCACGCCACGGCCGUUAUUAAAGACGCCGUAUUAGUGUAGCAUGAUAACCAAUCUGGCAGAAACUUAUAUCGGCCACGCACACAGCCUGAAUUGGCUCCUUACCACUGCUGGCCAAUUCCCCCCUUGCACACAUCGCUCAUGGUGAUGGGGUUCUGAAUCGCCACGCACACCAAGCCUCCGUUGGCUUGCUCGCCGGUCCAGUUGAGUGACACUGCGGGGAUCACAGCAGGCAGGGAAUUCCUUAUUAGGUCAUUAGGGGGUGAGAGGUGCUUGGCAGAUUAACAAGCGAGGGCAGCAACAUGGAGGAAGCAUCACUUGCCUAGUGGUAGGUCAUUGGCUGCCGCGAUGUGUAGGCGAAUGAGAAGACUAUCACUUUUGUACAAGAACGUUUACCGUACAAGGUUGAAUAGAUUGAAUUGAUAGGUUGAAUAGAUUGCACGCACGAUCAUGCGAGACAGUCUUUGUGCUCCACACAAAAUGCGCGGCAGUGUGUAUAUGUGUGUGUGUGUGGUGUUAUAGCAGGGCGUUGCAUGCCGAUCCUACCUUUCAGGGUGUCGGCUCCUUUGGCGCCCCAGCUGUCCGCAAUUAGUGUCCUGCUCGUCGUCGAAUUCGCGGCGGGGUAAACUGAAAAGCCUUUCACCGCCGACCUGUACAAGUCAUCUGCAGAGCGAAAAGGCAAAGUACACAACAGCAAUAGGGAUAAGGAUAAUCCUGGUCCACAGUUAGGACGGAGGGAACCAGAUAAGAGGCCAUGUAAAGUAGGCAUGAUGAUGAAGCCCGUGCCGGGGUUCGUUUAAAAGGUGUAUGUACAUAUGUGAUUAUGUAUGCUCUGUAUGUAUGUUCAGGGCCAUGACCCACACACGAGGGUCAUGGGCGAGGGUCAUUGGACGUUCCUGCCUGCACCUAUACAACAAGGCACGCAGUCGACGCUCCACAUGCGGUAGGUAGGUGGUAGCUGGCUGCAAAAUGCUGGAUGCGGGUCAGCGCGUAUUUAUAGACAAUGUGUGCAGUGUACUAUACGGCAGAUACUACAGGUUUGUAGAUCCCUGCGGGAUCUAUGGUUCUGAACGGCCACGCCCCCACACAUGUCGGACGGAGGAGCUCAGAUCUUAGGUUUUCCAAAAGGAUGGCAAGCAACAGCAAUGAUAACUUACUUGCAUACCACUCGAUCUUGGCGAGCGCGUCGUUUGCGUUGUAGCAGGUGCUCUGCAGGGGGACAGCGAACGAGGCAGCAUCCUCAGUCAUGUAAUUUCUUAACUUUGUCUGGGUGAGCUACACGCAGCAGACAGGCUCGCGUGCCUUGUCCAGACCCGAUACAACUAACCGAGCACAUCUGGCAUGCAGCCAAGCAUGCAUGGGUGCGUGGAAGAAAACAAAGCACCACCCCACGGGUCCUCCAUGCACCUAUCUGGCCUCACCGGCACGACCUGACUUGGCUGUAGCGUGUUGACGGUGAAGCAGUACUCAGUGACGUUGCGGCCCCAGCGGACAUUGGCCGGCUGUGUAUACCAGGUGGGGGAGACUGUGAACGGCAUGACUCCCUGGGUUGUGUUGCACCUGCGCGUCAGAAGGCGAGCGGAGGCGGCAGCAGGGUCGGUAACUAGUACUAUCACAUAUUCACCCAACGUUCCUGAUUUUUUCACAUAGCCAUGUGAGCAAGGUAUCCAUGCAAGCGCGGUGUCUUUGCCUUCAGCCAUUCAUCCAAAGCUCUGCAUACACGACAAAGACGCGAGCCAGAUCCCAAACAUGGGUCCAUCCAUUGCGGGAGGAAGCUUUGGUUAUUAGGCCCUACAUCCUCGCCCCCAAAUCUUUACGGAGGGCGGCCGCGCCGCAAAAGAGACGACGCCAUGAAGUAGGGUGACUCACGUGCAGUUGGGGAAUGGAACGCCAGGCAGGAAGCAACUAGCCGACUGCGAGAGGUCCAGGCACUGAUCUGCUACAUUGUUGAUGGUGGAGACCGUCACCGUGUAUUUCUCCAACUUUGGAUUGCAGACGUUGCCGCCUGACGCGAUUUCGACGAAGGCGGGAAGCUGCUGCUGCACCGCUUCCGUCAGAUUGGCCAACGCAUCACUGUCCGAACCGUUGAACCUGCCACAUGUAAUGAUUUGUGUGUCAAAGCACUGGCUUGCAUUUGGCGCGAAGGGUGAGAAGGCGCCGACGUUGGCGGCUCCCAGGAGAGAGUUCAUGAUGUUGGCGAUGUUCUGCUGAAUGGCGGCGCAGGUGGCGCUGUCGUAGCGGUAUGGUCGCACAUCAAUGGCCGGGGGCACAAUGGUGGCGGCGAUGCAGACGUCACAAGGGCGUCUGACCGGCGGAAUUUCUGGUGGCGGCGGCGGGAGGGCCUGACCAGCUUGAGAAACCGGGCAGCAAUCGCAUGAGACAUCGAACAUAGCUGCUGUGCAUGUCCCUGCGGGGAAGCCUGGCGACGAGCACAGUUGCUCCAGGGUGGUGCAGCCCUGGCCUCCGCGGUUGGUCCUGAGGGUGAGGCACACCUCCGCAUCCUGGGCGGUCGCGGUGUCCAGCCCCAGCUGGGUGAGCCGCAGAAUGGCGGAGCCAACAGGCCCAGCCGGGGCCUUGUCCAGGGUCGCACCAACCCGGGUCCGCACUCCAUUCACGGUGGCGACGACUGAAGCCCCGGCCACCAGGCAGCUGCUGGACACGUUGAACUGCGGACAUGGCGGGAUGGCAUGUGGUGGGAGGAUGGAGUGAGGGCAAGGUGAGGCAGGAGGGAACAUCACAAUUUGAUGUUCCCUCUACUUUUGAGGGUGCGAAGUUCCCAUUCUGUCCAGUACAUGUAAAUGAGCUAUAUAGAUCUUGGCAGGUGCUUGGCAAAGCCUGGUUAGACAUCCACUCCCCUGAGCAGCUAGGAUGGUAACGGAGCCCCCAACACCGACAUCAUGAGCCUCUUCCCGUGCUUUCCGAGGCCCUAGGACCUGUAGCAAUAUGUCUGCAUGUCGCAUCCCCCACACCAUCAGCCGGCCGUGCGCGCACCUCAAUUUUGUGCAAGUCGGCGCUGCAGCAGGCGCCAGUGCAGGACAGGGCAUCCUGGCUGACCUGGAUCUUGAAGCAGUACGUGUUGCUGCCCGAAGGCCGCCACACCGGUGCCAGCCGGUACGCGCCGUUUGUGGUGUUGCAGUUGCGGAACGGGAAGUUGGGGAUGCUGCCAGGCGUGACAGCUGAGCCUUCGUACUCGUAAUCUUGCGCAUUUGCGCCGACGGCCCUGAAGGGAUAUCGGUCAGCGACAACAUCAACGCACACGAUGAUGUGCUACGCCAUAAUUUUCAUUCCGGUUUGAAUAAUAGUUGUAGAUGUUCCAUACAGGGAAAUUCGUAGCGCAAACGUAGUGCUCACUCGAUGCUUGAAACAUCGGAUACGAUUUGUGGCCUAAAUAUUAGCUUUUAUUGAAAGAUAUCGUUCACGCGUAACAUCGGGUAAAUGUUCAAAGUAAUCCUGUGCGGUGCUUACCAUCCAAUCGCCAGCACUGUCGCAAGCAUUAAAGCUGAAGCUGUCAAGUUUUCCAUCGUGAUCAACCCUUAAAAAAUUUGUUGUAUUAUUUGACAGCAUGGACCUUGGUUAUGUACCCAGGUGACAGCUGGGCCCUACGGCGACCUAAAGGCGGGCGCCCGGCGGAUGCCCGUUGGCUUGUUUUUCCGCGAACAUGCGCCACAACAGACUCCAUACCUUUAACAGUGAAGAGAUAAGUAAAUUAAGCCUAUGAGAAUGGUGUAAGGAUUCUGGAAUCAAAUUAUGGGCUUCCAACGGCUUACAGCUUAUCCGAUGCAUGCGAUAUGCAUGAGUGGCUAAAAAAAUCGAUUAAUAUGUUUUCCUUUCGCCCAGGCUAUGUUGCUCUGAAGGUACAAAUUUCAGGUGACAGUCUAUCCGGUGGGCCGACAUGGGUGGCUCUGGAAUCUUCAAGAUGUCGAUAUGUAAGUAGGGAAAUUUUCAAGCUGUAAAUUGCUGCAUCACAUUUAUAGACGACGCUGAGUUACAGUCUAUCCGGUGUAUAUUGCGACCCGAUUCGCGGCCCGCGAACAUAUCCAGCUACUACAUGCCACCUGUAGCAUCCACAACUUCAUUUUUCGGAUUAUUCUGAUUAUUCUGAAUGAAACGCGGCAGCCCUACGGUGUGACAGCGGAGCGGCAGAAAACGCAUUAUUGUCGCAUAUGUGCGCAGGUAGCGCCAACUCUGCGCCAAGGGCUGAACCAGCGACAAAGCCACUUAAGGUCAUGCAGGGGCUCCCUUCCGUUCUCCAUCCCCUUCACCGCACCUUUCUCACUUAAGCUUCGCUUAGAGAAAGACACGCGUACAGCUGAGCCCGCUAUGGCUACCAUAACCGGUCGCUGGCAACGUCUGGCAAUCGCGUCUUGGAGCCGGCACAGGCCAUGCCAGUAACGCCGCCUGACGAAGCGCCGAAAAGAAAGAUGACCAGCAUGCUGAAGGCGCGCACAUUUUACAACUUCCUUGGUGUAUAAACUCACGUCAACACCCAUGCCAUUUACAAUCACUGAGAACAUAUAAGCCAUGUGCACUUGCAGUGCUGGUAAUCCUACAAGCCGACAGCAGCAAGAACGUCUGCGCAUCCCCUUCCGGCUACUGCAACGCAUAAGGACCCACAGCGCACGGAAGCCUCAGUUUCCCAACCCCCUUGACGAACACCACUACCUGCACGUGUGUGUUUACUGUUGUCAUUAUUGGCUAUCGAUGCUGAAACCUGCACACCGCAUGUGCGCUCAGGGCUUAAAUGUCGUCGUGCGCAUGUCAUGUCAUGUCAUCGAGGGCCCUCCACCGUAGAGCAUCAUAAGCGUUUCUUAGUGUAUUUCAUGCAGCAAAUUGAAAACCGCAGAAAAGGAGAACGAACAGCUCACUGACCUCCCAAGGAAUUCAGUCCAGUCGCAACGCCGCCGCAAGGCUCGAAAAAAGAACGACAUAUACGGUCGUCGCUCGCGGCACGCAGCACCUUGAUGAGCAGGCGCUACCAGCAUUGAUCGGGUACGACGCAGCCUGCGUAUCUCAUCUCCACUCGCAUCGAUCCCCUUUGUGGGCGCGAGGGCCCCUGCGUAACCAAACCCUCCCCCUACAUUUCUCAGUGCAGCCGCCGCCAUCCAGCCGCCGCGCCAGCCUCGCCCCUGUCCACGCUCUGUCCAGCAGCCGACCCGGAACUCGCACUCUCCCUAGUUACUUGCCUUGUCAAUACACUCCUGUCAAAACGUCAUCCGGUUUGUAAGUCUGAUAUAUAAACAUUGAUGUUGGUAAUAUGUUUAAAGGCUAUUGCCCUGCCCAUAAUGCACAUGCCCAAGGGCUAUUUUAGUUUAUGUAAUGUUUGACUUACUCGGCAAUCCCAGCUUUUCACAUACCCCAUAUCGCUACACUCAUAAGGCGAGCACGUUUUCGGUAACGAGCUUUGGCAACUGCAUUGCGCUCUUGGCCCCAAAACUACACUUCAGUUAAUGUCUUGAUGUAUGUUGCACCCCGCAACAUACAUCAAACAACUACUAGGGUUUGGCACUACUGGUAAGGCGCGACCAUUGCCCCCGGGAGAUCCCGGAAUCGAUACCCAAUAGUUAAUGGACGGUGGAACCCGGGAUCAAUACCCAGUAGUUAAUGGACGAUACCCAAUAGUUAAGUGACCUGGGAUAAAGUCAACCUGCGAGCCGCCCAGGAAUGGAGUUGGGCCGCUAUCGACCCGGCAGAUUCCAUUGGAUGCUGGUGGUGGGUGCGGAACCUGAGCGAUCCACUGAGAAGUUAACUAGGGUGACUGGAUGAUGGUGCCCCGAAAUACCGGGGAAGGCAGGGUUUCGCAGGGUAGCUGCCACGGGCGAAGAUACAUCCCCCUGUUUCACACAUCAAACAACAUCAAAUGCGUGCGUGUCGAAGCGUUGUCGAAGACUCGCAAUCCCAUGCAGCACUUCUAUACGUUGCAGCCAUUAUCAUGCAAUAAUGUAGUGAUUUCAUCCUUUUUUUCCUUGCUGCUGUAUCAUGUGGCAGCAGAACAACAGCAACAAAAUCGACAAGGCGGCUUUGGUAGCCUGCUUUGGCAACGUUAUGCUUCAGUUGCCUUAACUAGCAGCCCUCGAGUCGAAGUACUCCCGCCCAAAUGCGCUGCGCGUACCUACAGCGGCUGGAGGGGAAUAUGGCUUCCGGCAUAUAUGAUGAAAUUUACGUUCCAAACGCGCAAGUCUUAAACAGUAGUGGAUCUGUGGCGCCUAUCCGGCGAGCGCUGCACCAAUGCAAGCGUCGUGAAAAAGUAAUUCCUCCCCGCACCAAGGAUAUUGAACCAAUCUAUUGACGCAACAUUCCAUCCAUUUCAUCACGCUCUGGGACCAAAGGGCCUCGACAAGGACGCCCGAAGUUGGCCAAACACGCCGCGCGCAUUAUUAAAUACGGGUCAAUACCGCAGGGAGGGAAAAAUAGUCAAAGACCUGAUAACAUGCACACCACAGGACGGAAGGUGCGUGUGUCCUACGAAGCCCCCGAACAAAAACUUACCCUUGCUGCUCCCAUCCCGACAGCCGUCAUAACCAUGCCAGCUGGCAGGACACCGUCCCCCUCUUCCUUUUCCUCUCCCCGUACACCUAAAGCGUGCCUGCAGUCUCUACAUAGUCACACAAAGUGGAAAACAUAUCCAAGAAUCCAGAACUAGAUCCUAAAUCCAUAGGAUGGCCGCCAGCCAGGGCGCGGAAUCACGCGGCUCCCCAGCUAGCCGGCGUGUGCGCCAAGGCUAAGCGAAAAGGCCUCGGUGUGCUGUGUGCGGCGUGCGCCAGUCGCAGUCCCAGUCCCAGUCCCUAUCUAAACCUCUUUAAAUCAGAAGGCGGGCAGGCUUGCAAAGCCACUGCUGUCCACCGCAACGUAGAGAAUCUCGUGUGCGCCGGUGGUGCGUCCUCUGAAGAGGAAGGGACCUGCUCAUCGCGAUGCCGGUGGUGGCGGACUCCGUCGUAAGUCGCGCUCCAGCGACCUGAAGGAGGCGGAAAGGCGCCGAGGAGGGAGGAACAGGUGGAGCGACAGUGGAGGAUACGCACAGUGGCGGUGCCUGCAUGUGGGUGGUGCGGUAGCCGCCGGGGACAACGCACACGAGAGCCUACUACGCAGUGUGGGGCCUGCAGUGUCGCCGAGGCGACGGAGAGAGGCUCGGCCGAUAGGUAAGUAGAGGCCGCUAGUUGGUAGAGGCCGCUGGGCACGUGAUGACGAGUAAUAAAGAAAAAAAUACCACUGCGUAAUACCCCCGCAUACCCCCUUCCCAAAGACGUAGAGGCUAAGAAACAAAGCACAGACGACGCACCUAAGCUUGUCCAUGCACGCAUCCAUCUUGCGCUUGAGCAUCGCCACAAUCACGUCCUCAGCGGCUGCCUCAGGGUCCCCCCCCGGCCACGCUUUGUCCGCCUCUGCCGUCGCCACCGCCGCCGCCGGUCUCAGGCGCUGCUGAUGUGGGUCCUGGCCCAGGGGGCCUGGGUAUGCCACGGACAUUGACGGCGCCUGACGACCCAGAGGUUGCAAGCAGGACUGGGAAUACGGCGGGAGUGAAACGGAGGUAUUGAAGUCCAGCAGGCUGCCGUGGGGAGCUGCUGCCGCUGCCGGUAGCGCUGGCAUGUACUCAUCCGGAUGCCCGGUCCGUCUUCCAGGAGGGGCCGUUGCGGCAGCCGCCUCUCUGCCGUCCAGGACCUUCCCCGAGCCAUCCGGUCGUUGCGGCGGGGGUAGUGGUUGAAUCGGCGGCGGCGAUGGCGGCGAUGGCUGCGAUGGCUGCGAUGGCUGUGGCUGGGGUUGGUGCAUGGAGCCUAAAGGCAGCGCUGGUUGGGCCAAACUAUGGAGAGUCGACGACCCAGAUAACAAAGUGUGGCUGGCGGAUGAGGGGCGUUGAAACGAGGACGCCGCCGCCGCCACUGUCGCCAUUGUCGUCGCCGCCGCCACGACUGUUGCCGCCGUCACUGCUGAUGCUUCUCCUGCUACAACAGCGGACCUCUGCCGCUGCUGUUGCUGCUGCUGCUGCUGCUGCUGCUGCUGCUGCUGCUGCUGUCCUAGCUGCAUCGCGGCGUUGAAGGCAGAGUGGUGAACUGUUGGCUGGCCGGCUGUCAGGUCCGUAUGGACGCCAUCUUCAGGCCGCUGUGGCUGCUGGGAUGGCGCUCCCACAGGGAACGGUACGGCAUCGAAUGUACGGCGAGCCGCGUGCUGCUGAGCCGUGCACGUGGGACCAUUCCCCCAUGCGGCCUCAGGCUGCUGCUGCAUGAAACCGGAAGCAUCGGAAGCCAGGGGGCCAACAUUGGCGCCGGCGGCGACGGCAGCGGUGGCGGCGGCCCUGGCUGUAGCUGUCAGCGCUGCAGAGCCUUGGAUUUGAUGUGAACCGGCAGGCGGUGACAGGCUAUCGACACUGUCGGGCUGACACUGCUGCUGCUGCUGCUGCUGUAGCACCAGAGCAGUUGGGCUUUGGAAGCUCUGAAAGUGCCCCAAGUCCUGGUCCAGGGUCGCAUCCUCUUCCCUGGCAUCUAGGAACAGCGACCGCCGCGUGUGCGCCCUCACGCCCGUCGACUGAUGUGCCGCCUGCUGCUGCUGCUGCUGCUCCUGCUGCUGCUGCUGCUGCUCUUGCUGCUUCCCGGACCACGCGUCUUCCUCCUGGCGCAGCGGUGGCGCCCUCGUUGCAUCUUGGGGUUGCAGAUGGAGCGGCGAGUGCAUGGAUGUGCCUUGCGGCGUCCCUAACGGCCGCAUCCCGAGAACCUCCCGCCGAGCAAAAUCAUCAUCAUCAUCAUCAGCAGCAGCAGCAUUCACAGCCGUCGCUGUAGCAACAGAAUCAAUAGCAGUAGCUGCGCCAGUUGCUAUAUCAGUAGCAGUAGCAGUAGCAGCGCCAGUUGCAGUAGCAGUAGCAGUAGCUGAAGAGGGGCUGCCGCGGAUCGGCGGCAGCCUUCCGCCGCCCGGGUUCGGACCCUUGGCCAGCUGAAUGGCGCUACCGAGCUUCGGAACGGCUGCUGCUGCGGCUGGUGCUGGUGGUGCUUGCGCCAUGGCCGUGUGGUCUGAUGGACGGAAUGAUGUGUUCCUGCUAGUGCUGGGUGGCGAGGAUGGCUGCCGAAUUUGCGGCGAAACAUUGUCACAUUGCCGCUGCACGCCAUGCUGCUGUCCUUCCUUUACCUGUACCCCGUUCCGUUGGUAAGGCAAGAGGGCCGCGAGAUGCCCGGGGCUGGCGGGGCCGGGGAAGGACCCAUGGGUCGCGACCCGUGGGUCGUUUGCACCGCGACUGGGCCCAAUGAGCCCGGAGGUGGCAGCGGCAGCACUGGGUGCUACUGUCGCAGCAGCCGUCGCACCGCCCAAGUUGCGGCCGUUGCCUUCGUCGUCACCCGCGCGAGAUGACGGUGAUGAUGUCGCGGCUUCCGCUGCUGUGCCGUCCUCUGCCGCCACCGCCACUACUGCGGCCGAUGAUGACGACGACGACGACUCAUCACUACUGCCGAUUUCGGUAAUGAUGACAGGCGGCACCCGGCGACCCAUCGGCAUGCUACUGCCGCCACCGCCACCGCUUAGGAACAUCGCC